UCCUUGGGGGUCCAGUGGUUAAGACGCUGCACUCUCAAUGCAGAGGACCCAGAUUCAAUUCCUGGUCAGGAAA